GAUGAAGAACGCAUCGAAAUGCGAUAAGUAAUGUGAAUUGCAGAAUUCAGUGAAUCAUCGAAUCUUUGAACGCACAUUGCGCCCGCCAGUAUUCUGGCGGGCAUGCCUGUUCGAGCGUCAUUUCAACCAUCAAGCCCCAGGCUUGUGUUGGGGACCUGCGGCUGCCGCAGGCCCUGAAAACCAGUGGCGGGCUCGCUGUCACACCGGGCGUAGUAGAUUUUAUCUCGCUCUGGGCGUGCUGCGGGUUCCGGCCGUUAAAAAACCCUUUUAACCCAAGGUUGACCUCGGAUCAGGUAGGAAUACCCGCUGAACUUAAGCAUAUCAAUAAGCGGAGGA
rnacentral:misc_RNA from 1 species